AUCCGAUCCCCCCUGCCACUCCACAUGCUGGCCGGCCGGGACGAACCAAAGGAGGAAUCACCACCCGGGCGCUCCCGGUGCGGCAGCGUGGAGACCUGCCGUAAGGCACAGGGAAUUCUGCUUUCCCUGCUGCGAGAAAGGCCCUGCAAAGGCAGACCGAUCCGAGCGAAAGUAAUGGCU
ncrna:unclassified sequences malK-I RNA